GGGCCAGCAUGCUGUAGUGGAUUGAAUGCUGGACCAAUACUCCAGAAGACCAGGGUUCAAACCCCCACUUGCCCA